AUGAACGCUAGCGACAGGCCUAACACAUGCAAGUCGAGGGGCAUCGGGGCGUAGCAAUACGCUGCCGGCGACCGGCGGAUGGGUGAGUAACGCGUAUGCAACCUGCCUUCAGCAGGGGGAUAGCCCGUUGAAAGACGGAUUAAUACCCCGUAACACAGGGGCUCCGCAUGGAGAUUAUUGUUAAAGGGAUGCUUCCUUCGGGGGGGUAUUCCGGCUGAAGAUGGGCAUGCGUUCCAUUAGGUAGUUGGUUGAGGUAACGGCUCACCAAGCCUGCGAUGGAUAGGGGAACUGAGAGGUUGGUCCCCCACACUGGUACUGAGACACGGACCAGACUCCUACGGGAGGCAGCAGUGAGGAAUCUUGGUCAAUGGACGGAAGUCUGAACCAGCCAUGUCGCGUGAAGGAGGACGGCCCUAAGGGUUGUAAACUUCUUUUGCAGGGGAAUAAAGUAUUCCACGAGAUGGGAUAUUGCAAGUACGCUGCGAAUAAGGAUCGGCUAACUCCGUG
rnacentral:rRNA from 1 species